rnacentral:rRNA from 1 species
AUUGAACGCUGGCGGCAUGCCUUACACAUGCAAGUCGAACGGCAGCGCGGGGGCAACCUGGCGGCGAGUGGCGAACGGGUGAGUAAUAUAUCGGAACAUACCCUAGAGUGGGGGAUAACGUAGCGAAAGUUACGCUAAUACCGCAUACGCACUAAGGUGGAAAGUGGGGGAUCUUCGGACCUCAUGCUCAUGGAGUGGCCGAUAUCUGAUUAGCUAGUUGGUGAGGUAAAGGCUCACCAAGGCGACGAUCAGUAGCUGGUUUGAGAGAACGACCAGCCACACUGGAACUGAGACACGGUCCAGACUCCUACGGAGGCAGCAGUGGGGAAUUUUGGACAAUGGGGGCAACCCUGAUCCAGCAAUGCCGCGUGAGUGAAGAAGGCCUUCGG